rnacentral:rRNA from 1 species
AGUUUGAUCCUGGCUCAGGACGAACGCUGGCGGCGUGCUUAACACAUGCAAGUCGAGCGAUGAAGCUUCUUCGGAAGUGGAUUAGCGGCGGACGGGUGAGUAACACGUGGGUAACCUGCCUCGUAGAGGGGAAUAGCCUUCCGAAAGGAAGAUUAAUACCGCAUAAGAUUGUAGUUCCGCAUGGAACAGCAAUUAAAGGAGCAAUCCGCUAUGAGAUGGACCCGCGUCGCAUUGACUAGUUGGUGAGGUAACGGCUCACCAAGGCGACGAUGCGUAGCCGACCUGAGAGGGUGAUCGGCCACAUUGGGACUGAGACACGGCCCAGACUCCUACGGGAGGCAGCAGUGGGGAAUAUUGCGCAAUGGGGGAAACCCUGAUGCAGGGACGCCACGUGAGUGAUGACAGUCUUCGGAUUGUAAAACUCUGUCUUCAUGGACGAUACUGACUC